rnacentral:rRNA from 1 species
UACGUAGGGGGCAAGCGUUGUCCGGAUUCAUUGGGCGUAAAGAGCGUGUAGGCGGCCCGGUAGGUCGGUUGUGAAAACUGGAGGCUCAACCUUCAGAGGUCGACCGAAACCAUCUGGCUAGAGUCCGGGAGAGGAGAGUGGAAUUCCUGGUGUAGCGGUGAAAUGCGCAGAUAUCAGGAAGAACACCCGUGGCGAAAGCGGCUCUCUGGAACGGUACUGACGCUGAGACGCGAAAGCGUGGGGAGCGAACAGG